UAUUUAAAAAGGCAAAAAAAAAAAGGGAUAACAUUGUACUCCUGUUGAAGGGAGCCAUAAGAUUACAACAAAUGCAUUCAGAAACAAGAAGUGCGCCAGAACUAAACAAGCCUAGUUGACAAUUAUUCAGUUAAGCCUAUUUUGAUAGCAAUAAAACUUACCAUUUCUAUCUGAGAAGAUUUAUAUGGCAACAAGUUUGUGCAUUUUUCCUGCCAAUAUGGGAAUCACUAGCACAUACUGACAAGAUACAAGUUCAAGCACUAAAUUCUGCUGACAACAAAAUCCACAAUACCACCAACUAUAACAACUGACUAGGUACUAAAUCCAAACAUACUAAACAAAGCCCAAUCCCCAAAAAAGACGAAAUAAAGACAAUAAAUUAAUGAAAAAAUAGAACUCACUGAUAUUUGGAGAGCAAAACA
rnacentral:misc_RNA from 1 species